UUGCUUUAGCCUAGCUUAGCAACCUGCUAGCAAGGACCGAGCGGUUGUUAACACUGUGGCAGUGCGUGAGCUAGCGUUAGCCUGCCCAAUGUAAUGCAGUGGAAUACGGACUAGUGUAGCGUGUUGAAGCCCAGUCUAGUGGAGUGCUGUGUGCAAGAUCAUAGUAAGACUCCUUGCUAGCAUAUGCUUGUGUUUAAUGCAGCGACCUGCUUCUGCAUGGAGGUAAAUGAAGCUUUUAAGCAGGGCGGAGGGAAGGGGGACCGCUGAAAAGAUUAAUUGACUUUCUACAGAGCUUCACUUAUCCUCCUCUGGCACCUUUGACUUGCUAUGGUUAUAGCUGCUACCCCAGCAGGACCCCUUCUUGUCAGCCACUAAUGCUGUGACUGACAUCCAUCAACUAUGAGCCACCACAAGAUGGGUAAACAUGAUAGAGGGCAAGAACUGGUUGUGUCCCGGCCAUUUGUGAAUGACUCCUCAACUGAAAUGAGGGUAACCUGGAUGGCGACGUCAACACAGACCUCAAUUUAGACAAAAUGAAGGAGGACAAGGAUGACACCACCUUCCAGCAGUUGACCUGGCGUGUAUUUACAUUUCUCAGGAGGUGCACAUCAGAAGAAACGGUUCUGGUUAUGUCGGAUUAUGGCUCUAAAGGGACAACUUCAAGUAAGCAGUGGAAAGAGAGCAAAAGGAUGGACUAUGAUUGGUUGCCAUCUAGUGGCUUUAACUCUGGCUUGCUGCUGCUGCUGCUGCACCAUGAAGGUUUAAAAUGUUGGGUUUAGUAGGUUUCACUCCUAAAAAAGGCAGGUAAUAAGAGAUUUCCUCUACCCCUCACAGGCAAGUUGGUGUCAAACAUUUUUCUCAGUACUUGUAGAUAUUAGGAAAUGGUUAUUAAUGACUGGAAAAUAAUUUCUUUUGGUGUGACCCUUCUUAUUAAAUAUAAAACUACACUGACUUCACAGCAAUUAAAUGGAACAGGACCUUUUGUUUAUGUUAUGAAAAUAUAGAUUUUUACAAGCCAAAUCCUUAUUAGGCAAUGGCUGAUUGAUUGCAUGCAG